rnacentral:rRNA from 1 species
UUGGAGGGCAAGUCUGGUGCCAGCAGCCGCGGUAAUUCCAGCUCCAAUAGCGUAUAUUAAAGUUGUUGCAGUUAAAAAGCUCGUAGUUGAAUUUCGGGGUCAAUAAGUUGGUCGUGCCAAUGGUAUGCACUGGCUUUAUUGAUUCCUACCUCUUGACGAACUGUGAUGCCAUUAAUUUGGUGUCGCAAGGAAUCAGGACUGUUACCUUGAAAAAAUUAGAGUGUUUAAAGCAGGCUUACGCUUGAAUACAUUAGCAUGGAAUAAUGAAAUAGGACGCUUGAACCUAUUUUGUUGGUUUCUAGGAUCGACGUAAUGAUUAAUAGGGAUAGUUGGGGGCAUUAGUAUUCAAUUGUCAGAGGUGAAAUUCUUGGAUUUAUUGAAGACUAACUACUGCGAAAGCAUUUGCCAAGGAUGUUUUCAUUAAUCAAGAACGAAAGUUAGGGGAUCGAAGACGAUCAGAUACCGUCGUAGUCUUAACCAUAAACUAUGCCGACUAGGGAUCGGAUGAUGUUAAUCUUUUAAUGACUCAUUCGGCGCCUUACGGGAAACCAAAGUGUUUGGGUUC